AAGCAGCAGGGCAGCAAACCUGUGCCAGCCUGCAAUGUGAAGCCCUAAAGCUUUGGCAUCUCUGCUGGGCUCUGAGCCAGGUGCCUGGCAGGGCCCCAAGAACUACUUUCAGCAAAUCUUCAGGCAACGCCGAAGGUGGUGAGAAGCAGGAGGCAGAGCGAGAAGGCAGGAAUGGAGGGGCCCCCUAGAGGCACCAGCUUAAGAGGAAGGUUCACGAGCUCAGGAGGACUUGGGGGAGUGCUGCAAGAUGGUGCGAGAAAUGGAGAAGGAAGACAGAACGGGGUAAGAGAGAGAAGAGGAGAGAAAGAACGCAGGAGAGGAGGGAGAGGAGAAAACGGAAAGGAGUCAGAGACUGGGAGGAUGUCCAAGCUGCCGGGACCUCAGAGAACCCGUGUCGUUAGCUACCGUGCCUGAAGGGGGACAACAAACACGGAGGACGGAGGUGAAGGAAGAAUGGCUCCUCCGUUGACGGAGAUGCGGAAUGGCUCCAGAGUCAGAGGGCUUCCUGAGUCUUCCGGAGUCUAACUGAAGAUCCGGUUGCAGCAGAAGCCCAUUUCUUUCAGCCUUGCCCACCAUGCCUGCCACCCGACCUCCACCUGUCCCCCGAGUGGGGGGCUCCCUGGCUCUAAGACAGCUCCCACCAGCCAUUUUCUUCUCCAGAGAAAGCAUUUUCAGUUCUUUCA
rnacentral:lncRNA from 1 species